rnacentral:rRNA from 1 species
GAUGAACGCUGGCGGCGUGCCUAACACAUGCAAGUCGAGCGAACAGACAAGGAGCUCGCUCCUCUGACGUUAGCGGCUGACGGGUGAGUAACACGUGGAUCACCUACCUAUUAGUCUGGGAUAACUUCGGGAAACCGGAGCUAAUACCGCAUAAUAUAUUGAACCGCAUGGUUCAAUAGUGAAAGACGGUUUUGCUGUCACUUAUAGAUGGAUCCGCGCCGCAUUAGCUAGUUGGUAAGGUAACGGCUUACCAAGGCAACGAUGCGUAGCCGACCUGAGAGGGUGAUCGGCCACACUGGAACUGAGACACGGUCCAGACUCCUACGGGAGGCAGCAGUAGGGAAUCUUCGACAAUGGGCGAAAGCCUGACGGAGCAACGCCGCGUGAGUGAUGAAGGUCUUCGGAUCGUAAAACUCUGUUAUUAGGGAAGAACAACUGUGUAAGUAACUAUGCACGUCUUGACGGUACCUAAUCAAAAAGCCACGGCUAACUACGUG